rnacentral:rRNA from 1 species
CCUACGGGAGGCAGCAGUGAGGAAUUUUCUGCAAUGGGCGAAAGCCUGACAGAGCAAUACCGCGUGAGGGAUGAAGACUUACUGAGUUGUAAACCUCGGUGCCUUAAGGAAGAAGAUCUGACGGUACUUAAGGUGGAAAGCAUCGGCUAACUCCGUGCCAGCAGCCGCGGUAAGACGGGGGAUGCAAGUGUUAUCCGGAAUUACUGGGCGUAAAGCGUCUGCAGGUGGUUUUAUAAGUCUGCUGUUAAAUCUUGAGGCUCAACCUCAAAUCUGCAGUGGAAACUAUAAGACUUGAGUAUAGUAGGGGUAGAGGGAAUUUCCAGUGGAGCGGUGAAAUGCGUAGAUAUUGGAAAGAACACCGAUGGCGAAGGCACUCUACUGGGCUAUUACUGACACUCAGAGACGAAAGCUAGGGGAGCAAAUGGGAUUAGAUACCCCAGUAGUCCUAGCCGUAAACGAUGGAUACUCGAUGUUGGACGUAUCGACCCGUUCAGUAUCUUAGCUAACGCGUUAAGUAUCCCGCCUGGGGAGUACGCGUCGCGAGAGUAGAACGUACAAGUAGAAGUAGACGGACGUGAGACGUGCCGACGACGACGACGAGGGAGGUUAGG